CCCCUCACUGGCUAUUUUCUCUUUUCAGACCAAGCCUAGAGAUAGUUGUGCAGGAGAAUGACAGCAGAUUGCAGCAGUUUCUAAAAUACUCAGACCAACACCCAUGUCACAUACCAAGUCACAUCAGUCAUCUUUUUCCCCCACGCAGAUGCUCAAUUUGAACUUCACUGAGUUGCUGCACGUAUUUUAUGUGCACAUAAAAAAGUCUUAGUUUCUUUUGUAUAAUCAGACACGUUUAUUUGCUCUCCCCAUAAAGAUGAAAAACAGAAGCAAAACUGUUAAAUAUUAGUGUAUUAGAUGAUUGAUUAGCUUAGGCCAGCAAGAACACCGUGAAGACACUUUUAAAAUGGAUUAGCUGCAAGACUUAGCUGGAAAAAGUAUCAUCUCAACCACAGCUACGACAAUGACGGGCUCUUCCAGCUAAUUAGCUAAAAACUGAGUUCUUCGAUGGAUUAAAUUAAACAGUAACACUUGAAGAAUUUGCGUUUCGGAGGUCCAGAGAGGAGCUGCAGCAGGGCAUCAGGAGGACACAGGGUCCUGAGUAGGGGAGCAUUUGUGAGGUGAUGUAAAGUCUGCAGGCCUGUUGCAUGUCCUGUGAAUGUUGGAACUAUUAUCCAACUCAUAACUAUGAUGUCUUGAUUGACAUAGCUAAUUUGGCUCUUUAAGGUGU